ensembl:lncRNA
GUAAGUAGGCUUAUUUAUUAUUUUUUUAUGUUUUUUUGUGUUCUCAGGUAAGUAGAAUCUUAAUUAGUAUCAUGUACUUUUUAUUUUCAGGAAGAUGGGGCUCGAUUUGUGUUAGGUGCUUUUUAAGUAAUUGUGGAAUUAUGUAUUAUAUACUAUAUUAUCAAGUGUAUUUUGAGGAAUUUUUAUUUCAGGUCAAUAGGGAUUAAUUUGUAUUAUGUGCUUUUUAAUUUUCAGAGAAGUAGGGCUUAAUUUGUAUUAGAUCUCUGUUAUUCUCCCGGUCAAUAGGGAUUAAUUUGUAUUAUGUGCUUUUUAAUUUUCAGAGAAGUAGGGCUUAAUUUGUAUUAGAUCUCUGUUAUUCUCCCGGUCAAUAGGGAUUAAUUUGUAUUAUGUGCUUUUUAAUUUUCAGAGAAGUAGGGCUUAAUUUGUAUUAGAUCUCUGUUAUUCUCCCGGUCAAUAGGGAUUAAUUUGUAUUAUGUGCUUUUUAAUUUUCAGAGAAGUAGGGCUUAAUUUGUAUUAGAUAUCUGUUACUCUCCCGGUUAA